GAUGAACGCUGGCGGCAUGCCUAAUACAUGCAAGUCGAGCGAACGGACCAGGAGCUGGCGCCUCUGAGGGUAUCGGCGGACGGAAGAGGAACACGUGGUUAGCCUAACUAUAAGACUGGGGUACCUACGGGAAACCGUAGCUAAUACCGAAAAAUAUUUUGAACCGCAUUGGGCAAAAGUUGAAUACGGUCUUUCGGUCGGUUAUAGAUGAAUCCGCGCUGCAUUAGCUAGUUGGUAAAGUAACGGCUUACCAAGGCAGCGAUGCAUAGACGACCUGAGAGGGUGAUCGGACAGCCUGGCAGUGAGAAACGGUCCCGACUCCUACACGAGGCAGCAGUAGGGAAUCCUACGCGAUGGGGGAGAGCCUGAUGGAGCAACGCCGCCGGAGUGAUGAACGACUUAGGCCCGGAGAGUUCUGUUAGUAGUGAAGUUCAAAUGUGUUAUUAACCGUGCUGAUAUUGACAGUACCUAGUGAGAAAGCCCCGGCUAACUACGUG
rnacentral:rRNA from 1 species